rnacentral:rRNA from 1 species
GACGAACGCUGGCGGCGUGCUUAACACAUGCAAGUCGAACGGAAAGGCCCUGCUUUUGUGGGGUGCUCGAGUGGCGAACGGGUGAGUAACACGUGAGUAACCUGCCCUUGACUUUGGGAUAACUUCAGGAAACUGGGGCUAAUACCGGAUAGGAGCUCCUGCUGCAUGGUGGGGGUUGGAAAGUUUCGGCGGUUGGGGAUGGACUCGCGGCGUAUCAGCUUGUUGGUGGGGUAGUGGCUUACCAAGGCUUUGACGGGUAGCCGGCCUGAGAGGGUGAACGGCCACAUUGGGACUGAGAUACGGCCCAGACUCCUACGGGAGGCAGCAGUGGGGAAUAUUGCACAAUGGGCGGAAGCCUGAUGCAGCAACGCCGCGUGCGGGAUAACGGCCUUCGGGUUGUAAACCGCUUUCGCCUGUGACGAAGCGUGAGUGACGGUAAUGGGUAAAGAAGCACCGGCUAACUACGUG